rnacentral:rRNA from 1 species
AUUGAACGCUGGCGGCAUGCCUUACACAUGCAAGUCGAACGGCAGCACGGGAGCAAUCCUGGUGGCGAGUGGCGAACGGGUGAGUAAUAUAUCGGAACGUGCCCAGUCGUGGGGAUAACGUAGCGAAAGCUACGCUAAUACCGCAUACGAUCUAUGGAUGAAAGCGGGGGAUCGCAAGACCUCGCGCGAUUGGAGCGGCCGAUAUCAGAUUAGGUAGUUGGUGAGGUAAAGGCUCACCAAGCCGACGAUCUGUAGCUGGUCUGAGAGGACGACCAGCCACACUGGGACUGAGACACGGCCCAGACUCCUACGGGAGGCAGCAGUGGGGAAUUUUGGACAAUGGGCGCAAGCCUGAUCCAGCAAUGCCGCGUGCAGGAUGAAGGCUCGGUGUAACUAGC